GCACCCGUAGCUCAGCUGGAUAGAGCGCCGGACUACGAAUCCGGAGGUCGUAGGUUCGACUCCUUCCGGGUGCG
rnacentral:tRNA from 1 species